rnacentral:misc_RNA from 1 species
GAUGAAGAACGUAGUGAAAUGCGAUAGGUAAUGUGAAUUGCAGAAUUCAGUGAAUCAUCGAAUCUUUGAACGCACAUUGCGCCCCCCGGCAUUCCGGGGGGCAUGCCUGUUCGAGCGUCUCCAGGACGAAUCCUCGCGCGAGUGAACGCGCGGUCGUGGCGGAGGUGGCGUGCCCGAGCAGGGCGGCCACCGCGCUGGAAUCCAUGGGCGGACGCCUGCCGCGUGGCCGAGCGUGAUAUGACGCAUUGGCGCUCGUGCGCGGCGAGGCUGCCAGCCCUGGCCCGUCUGUCGGGCGGGGUAGAUCACCACGUGGGAACUCCUCGAAUCAGGUAGGGAUACCCGCUGAACUUAAGCAUAUCAAUAAGCGGAGGA